rnacentral:rRNA from 1 species
UAUGGCAUUGGGUUCAUUGACCCAAACACCGUUAAUGAAUACACAUGGAAAUUAGAUGCAUAUUAUGAAAAAGAGGUAGAGGAUAGCAUGCUAGAGUUCUUGAAGCGCCUCAAAUACAAUGAAGAUAUACUGCUUCCUUACAACUUCGAAUUUCACUGGAUCUUGUGUAUCAUUAAAGUUGACGCUGGAACAGUUGAAAUACUGGACUCGCUACUCACAGCAAAAGGUGACUACAACAUCUUGUAUGGGAUAGUCAACAGGGUUUGGGCAAGGUUCAUCAGCGUCACGGAAGGCGAAUGGAAACCAGAGCUGAAAUGGUUUCGAUCCAAG